rnacentral:rRNA from 1 species
AUACGUAGGGGGCGAGCGUUGUCCGGAAUUACUGGGCGUAAAGGGUGCGUAGGCGGCCAUUUAAGUCUUGUGUGAAAGGCCCCGGCUUAACCGGGGAGCUGCAUGGGAAACUGGAUGGCUUGAGUGCUGGAGAGGGUUGCGGAAUUCCCAGUGUAGCGGUGAAAUGCGUAGAUAUUGGGAGGAACACCAGUGGCGAAGGCGGCAACCUGGACAGUAACUGACGCUGAGGCACGACAGCUGGGGGAGCAAACAGGAUUAGAUACCCUGGUAGUCCCAGCCGUAAACGAUGAGUGCUAGGUGUUGCGGGUAUCGACCCCUGCAGUGCCGCAGUUAACGCAAUAAGCACUCCGCCUGGGGAGUACGGCCGCAAGGCUGAA